CCUACGGGAGGCAGCAGUGAGGAAUAUUGCUCAAUGCCCGAAAGGGUGAAGCAGCAACGCCGCGUGAGGGAUGAAGUUCGUAAGGAUGUAAACCUCUGUAGGGAGGGAAAAAUAUGGCGCCCAGGCGCCAUUGAUUGUACCUCCAAAGUAAGCCCCGGCCCACUACGUGCCAGCAGCCGCGGUAAUACGUAGGGGGCGAGCGUUGUCCGGAAUCACUGGGUGUAAAGGGUCCGCAGGCGGGUGGGUAAGUCGGUGGUGAAAUCUUUCCGCUUAACGGGAAAAUUGCCUCCGAGACUGCUCAUCUUGAGUACGGGAGAGGGUGAUGGAAUUCCCAGUGUAGGAGUGAAAUCCGUAGAUAUUGGGAGGAACACCGGUGGCGAAGGCGGCUCUCUGGACCGAUACUGACGCUGAGACGCGAAAGCGUGGGGAGCAAACAGGAUUAGAUACCCCGGUAGU
rnacentral:rRNA from 1 species